rnacentral:rRNA from 1 species
GAUGAACGCUGGCGGCGUGCCUAAUACAUGCAAGUCGAGCGAACGGACGAGAAGCUUGCUUCUCUGAUGUUAGCGGCGGACGGGUGAGUAACACGUGGAUACCUACCUAUAAGACUGGGAUAACUUCGGGAAACCGGAGCUAAUACCGGAUAAUAUUUUGAACCGCAUGGUUCAAAAGUGAAAGACGGUCUUGCUGUCACUUAUAGAUGGAUCCGCGCUGCAUUAGCUAGUUGGUAAGGUAACGGCUUACCAAGGCAACGAUGCAUAGCCGACCUGAGAGGGUGAUCGGCCACACUGGAACUGAGACACGGUCCAGACUCCUACGGGAGGCAGCAGUAGGGAAUCUUGCGCAAUGGGCGAAAGCCUGACGGAGCAACGCCGCGUGAGUGAUGAAGGUCUUCGGAUCGUAAAACUCUGUUAUUAGGGAAGAACAUAUGUGUAAGUAACUGUGCACAUCUUGACGGUACCUAAUCAGAAAGCCACGGCUAACUACGUG